GGAACCCACAGGCUGUCCGGCACAACCGCUGGAAGCCAACUCCGCUCACACGAGCGCGCGCAGGCUUUCAGAUCAGCUCCAAACAGCAGAUCUUUACAUCCAUGUUCAUCUGUCAGUGAGUCAGAGGAUGUCUGAUCGUGAGGAUCCGUUCAGGUUAUCCGAUGUCUGGUGCGCGCAGGGAGGGAAAAGUGUGAGGACGUCUCAACCCUCCACCGGGCGGGCAGCAUGGAGCUGUGUUCCUCUGUCUGCGCCACCCCAACAGCUCUCCAGUGUAACAGGAAAGAAGAAUUUCAAAGGGGACAUUGCAAUCUCGUAAUAAUUUCAAAUAUUGUAAAAAUAUAUUUUGUUUGGGUGUUUUUUUUUUUUUACUAAACACAAGUAUAAUUAAUUACAUGAUUAUUACAUUAAUUAUACAAUUACUAUCCAAUAAUUAACAUUAUUAUUUUUUAAGGGUAUGUCUAAUGUUAUUAACAAGGCACUUUCCCCUUUGUGGGAUCAAUAAAGUUCUAAUCUGUUUUGCUUUAUCUCUUUAAUUUGUCAAUCACCCGUAUAGAAGGCCUAUUGAAACUGCAUUUAAUUUUUGACCUUAACUUUUGACUCAAUUACUUUUCUUUCUUUUCAUAAAAAAAAAAAAAAA